AGAGUUUGAUCCUGGCUCAGAUUGAACGCUGGCGGCAGGCCUAACACAUGCAAGUCGAACGGUAACAGGAAACAGCUUGCUGUUUCGCUGACGAGUGGCGGACGGGUGAGUAAUGUCUGGGAAACUGCCUGAUGGAGGGGGAUAACUACUGGAAACGGUAGCUAAUACCGCAUAACGUCGCAAGACCAAAGAGGGGGACCUUCGGGCCUCUUGCCAUCAGAUGUGCCCAGAUGGGAUUAGCUAGUAGGUGGGGUAACGGCUCACCUAGGCGACGAUCCCUAGCUGGUCUGAGAGAAUGACCAGCCACACUGGAACUGAGACACGGUCCAGACUCCUACGGGAGGCAGCAGUGGGGAAUAUUGCACAAUGGGCGCAAGCCUGAUGCAGCCAUGCCGCGUGUAUGAAGAAGGCCUUCGGGUUGUAAAGUACUUUCAGCGGGGAGGAAGGGAGUAAAGUUAAUACCUUUGCUCAUUGACGUUACCCGCAGAAGAAGCACCGGCUAACUCCGUGCCAGCAGCCGCGGUAAUACGGAGGGUGCAAGCGUUAAUCGGAAUUACUGGGCGUAAAGCGCACGCAGGCGGUUUGUUAAGUCAGAUGUGAAAUCCCCGGGCUCAACCUGGGAACUGCAUCUGAUACUGGCAGGCUUGAGUCUCGUAGAGGGGGGUAGAAUUCCAGGUGUAGCGGUGAAAUGCGUAGAGAUCUGGAGGAAUACCGGUGGCGAAGGCGGCCCCCUGGACGAAGACUGACGCUCAGGUGCGAAAGCGUGGGGAGCAAACAGGAUUAGAUACCCUGGUAGUCCACGCCGUAAACGAUGUCGACUUGGAGGUUGUGCCCUUGAGGCGUGGCUUCCGGAGCUAACGCGUUAAGUCGACCGCCUGGGGAGUACGGCCGCAAGGUUAAAACUCAAAUGAAUUGACGGGGGCCCGCACAAGCGGUGGAGCAUGUGGUUUAAUUCGAUGCAACGCGAAGAACCUUACCUGGUCUUGACAUCCACGGAAGUUUUCAGAGAUGAGAAUGUGCCUUCGGGAACCGUGAGACAGGUGCUGCAUGGCUGUCGUCAGCUCGUGUUGUGAAAUGUUGGGUUAAGUCCCGCAACGAGCGCAACCC
rnacentral:rRNA from 1 species